rnacentral:lncRNA from 1 species
GGAAUAUACCUUACCGGUGCUGAACAUUUGUAGAAAACGAGUAUUGUUGACAUUGACAAAGAAAUGCCUUCGCAUCAGAUUCUCUACCAGACAAUGUUCUGUAAGAACUGAGCCUAGCUGUUGUUUGCAGUAUUGAACCCAUAAAUGAUAAUAAGAAACAUCUUUAGAGAUGACAAAGAUGAUAUUUAUUAACAUAAGAUGUAUAACCAGGGUGCCUCUGAUACCUACUUUAUAGAAUGAAAGAACAUUUUGACACAUGGCAAAUGAGAUUUGUCCUCCGAGUAGCAUAACCACACAAUAACAUCCAGAACUUAAGUUGGCCAUAGGAAUUUUUAUUACACUUCUUGUCAGCAUCUGAUCCAAAUGAUGGGAAUCUCUGGUUGUCUUUCCAGAAAUGGUCUUGGAUUUGCCAAGCAUCAUGGAUCAUAUUGGUUUUUGAUCCAAGAAUAGAGCAUCACCCUUGGCAUCCUCAGUUCAGUGAACUGCUACAGUGAGGUGCCACUCACUAAUUAAAAAUAUAAUCUAUAACACUACUAAUCAAUCACCCCCUCAAACACAGGGAACUUGAGUGAAAUUUCUUGGUUCUCUCAAACCACCUAUUGCUUUUCCUGCAAAAAAAAAAAAAAAAAAAAUGUAUUUUUUUUUACCAAAUGGCAGAGAUUUGGGUUAGAAAAAGAAAAUUUCAGUAGUUUAAUGACCAGUCUUGCAAAAGCUAGGUAAGCAUAUUUGAAACAAAAAUAAAAUCAGAAGAAAAAGAACAAUGUCUAAGGAUGAACUCUCAAAUGUUUCCUGGAAUCCCCUUCCACUUCCAACCAGAAUCUGGCCAAAGUGAAAAUUCUGGCGGAAUGGAGAUUUUUUAGAAGGCAAAUUUCUUCUCAGGUCAUAUAUGCACAUCUUCAUUUGGUGUAUCCAUGUACCAACCAUCUCUUGGUUUAAAAAACGGAAGCUACAUGGUACUGGUAGAGAGGUUAAAAAGUGUCUGAUACUUGCUUCCUUUCUUUUAGGCAGCUCUGCACUUUACAAAAAGUCUUUUAAAGAAUAGACUGUAAUCUUCUAUGGAGAUACUUUCUUAAUUAUCCCCCUUUCUCUUGCUUGACUUCUGGUAGAUGCUUUGCUACAUCUUUGGCUACCUCAUAAUUUGUAUGGGAAUUAACAUGAAUUAAGCAGCUUCUAAUAGUGCAUGGACUUUUUUACUUCUUUGCAUUGGGUUCAGUUUAUAUAGGCAGAUGUAACAAGUAUUCUCAAUCAACUUUCUGAUACUUUAGCAGUUAAGAACUCCAGAGCCUAUCAUGCAAUGCAACCUCUGGGUCUCAUUGACAAGUGAAUACAUUAUUCAGUGAAGCGUCAUUGUAAGUCUGUCUUGAGUCAUUGGCCAGGCGGGUUUUACCAGAUUACCCUCUGCAAUGCAUUGGUUUAAUGAAGCUACUGUCUAGAAAUUGGAGAGCUUAUUAAAUAUGAAACAAGUCUAUUCUUCCCUAACCAAAAGAAAUUCCUUUCUCUCUGCCCAUCUCUUCUUUUUCUCUCCCCUGUCUCUUUUUUUUUAUUAGUUACACAUGACAGUACAAUGAUCUUGACAUAUCAUACAUUUGAAUCAAACUUUCAACCCUAUUAAAAAGAAAGUAGUCUGGGGAAAUAUGCAGAUAUAACUUUCUUACAUACAAAUUACUUGGGAUAUAUGCAUCACUUUUAAAAAUUCUAGUUACUAAAUAUGUGAUAUAAUAAACAUUGAUUAUCUUCAAAAUUAUUUUAAGUAGAAAAAAUAAGGUAAUUUUUGUUGUUCAGUAAAAUUGACCUUUACUUUCAGUAUUUUUGUUUUUAUAGAAGUAUUCUGUUAUUAUCAGAACAAAUACAUUAAAUAACUUCCAUAGAGAACAGGUUCUAAGCAGUAAUAGCUCUUUAGUUUCUCAUUAUUUUCUGACCCCAAUCAAUGUCUUGUUGAUAUUACAUAAUAAAAACAAAAAAUAAAUAUUGCUAUUAGUGGCUCUUCUAAGCAUAUGAACCAUGCAACAUUAAAAUACAUAAGUAAAUUUUAGUGAUGGUAUCAUUUAAUUUGUUUCCUUUCAUUUCUUCAGUUAGCAUUUACUGAAUGCUCACUUGGAAAUGGUUAGUCUUUCAUUCUGAAAGACUAUGUAGAAACCAAGCUACUCUCCCUGUCCACCAUAGGUAGGGGUUCUUUCCUUGAACUAAAGUGUCAGGAAUUGCAUGAGGUUCUCUCCUAGACCAAGGACACACCAGGCAGAUCUGUGGACCAUGUUUUUUUUUUUUUUUUAAAUCUCUCUACAGUCCACUCUUUCCCAUCUAAAAGAACCCCAUGCAAAAUAUUUCAAAUCAAUCAUUUGAUGGAUUUGACCUUUACAAACUCAUCCAGAGGAAGUACAUUGUUGUGCUGUGGGUGGCACUGUAUUUUCUUUUCUUCUUAGUAGAUGAUAGGCCCAUUUUAUUCUAAGAGUGGGCUGCACAGGAUGAAACUCUUCCUUCUUUAGCAUCAUCGGUAUGUCCUGAAAUCUCAGCAUCUGCCAUGUUUGAACCACAUGAGUAAAGACCAACUAGAAUCCUGCUGUCAACUCCCUAUGGGGCAUGGUGAUAAGAGGGAGACUCAAUAGGAAGGGAUUUAGUUCUAUAGGCAGCAACAGAGCUUUAUCAAGUCAUCUUACCUUUAAUUUUUUUCCAGGGUACCCACUCCAAGGUUUACAUUGAAAAUAGAUCUGUGUAAAAAUAAUUGAGAGCCUUUCCUCAUAUAUCUCAAAAUAUUUCCAGAUAGAGCAAUGUGAAAGUACCAACAUUAGAACUUAAUGUAAGGACACUUAGAUUUUAAAAGUUGAAAUCUUUAUUUUGAAAAUAUAUAUUUAAUAUUAUCUUGGACACCAAUUCAGUGCUUUAGUAGGAAAAAGAAAAAAUGUUGUUAGAAGUGCAAAUGUUUUACAAAUUGGAAAUUUUCAUAAUUGUAUUAUUGUGAAAAUAAGCAUGUUACCAUUCUUUAAGACUCUUUCAUUUUUCUAGCCAUAGUAGCAAUAAUAAAAGGAUGAAAACAAGUCUUUUCACCAAACUUGAGGCACAAGAAUGGAACUCAAAUGUUCAAAUAGUUUAACUUAUCAGGAAUCAAAAAUGUCUAAUUUGGCAGGAAACUACAAAUACUAGUAUUCCCUGUGUAUUUCUCUCUCUCUCUCUCUCUCUCUCUCUCUCUCUCUCUCUCUCUCUCUCUCUCUCUCUUUCUCUCUUUUACACACACACACACACACACACACACACACAUGCAAAUAAAAAUAAACUCGUCAUUUCUAAAUGGAAAUGAUCCUAAAGACAUAGUUCUAAUUGAAAUAACUCAUAUGAUUGUCAAGGUCAACAGAAAGGUCGUUUUGGGGAAUGUUAGUCCAAACGUUAAUAUGUUUUCUCAAGAUAUUUCCCUAGAAUUAAUUCUAUUAUUGCAUCGUAAUGACAGAAAAUUUCAAGGUAUUCCUUUCUAUUACUUCCCUUUUUCAUAUCCACUCAUAUUAAGAAAUAAAAGGCUUUGAGAUUUGACUAGGUAUUUUGGUUAAGACUUUAAAACAGAACAAGAUACUUACCUUCCUUCCAUCAGAAAGAUUACAUAGAAACUUUUUAAAAGAAAGCUGAACAAAAGUUGAUAAAACAAAAUAUACUAAACUGAGUCUCUCUCUUGAUUUGAUUUCAUUGGGAGAAAAAUCAGAAUAUUAAAUUUGCAAACUUGUUUUUCAAAAGCAUUUAAUCUCAAUCUCUCCCUCUCUCUCUCUCUCUCUCUCUCUCUCUCUCUCUCCCUCCCUCCCUCACCCCCCUCCCUCCCUCCCUCUUUUUCUGUCCUUUUUCCUCCCUCCCUUUUAACUUAAUGAACUAAGUCUUCUUUUUUUCCUUUUUACUUUGGGGUACUCCGGAUUAAAUCCAGGGGUGCUGCUCCACUGAGCUACAUCCCCAGCCUUUUACUUGUUAUAAUUUUUAUUUUGAGACAGGGUCUCCCUAAAACAUCUCAAACUUGUAAUCUUCCUGCUUUAGCCUCCUGAGUCACCAGGAUUACAGGCGUGGUGGUAUACUCCUUUCUGUACAAAAUGUCAAAGCUUUGGGGUGAAAGGAAAAACAAUUUCCUGCCAAAAUCAAAAUUGAAUAAUGUAAUUCAUCAUAUUGAAUAAUGUACUGACAAUCUGUGCCUUCAUUUUUUUUUCUCAGUGGAAAUUCAACCUUGACAUUUAAGAUGUAAAAAAAUCCCUUUAGAGAUUUCAUGGAGUACAAAUCAAAGGUCAAAGAACACACAGAUGAAAUUCUUUGGGAUGAUUGAAGGCUUUGCCAUGGAAUUGGUAGCCAAAAGAAAUUGUUAAAAUAUUAACCAUGUUAUCCGUUGUUAUCCAUUUUGAAUUAUAAUUAUUAAAGACAUAGGUGUUUUGGAUUAGCCAGAUGGCACCUUCCCUGAUUACAUGGUCAUUCACAGACACCACAUGAGUUUCUAAUAUGGAUAUUUAUCAUUUCCAACAUUUGGAUCAUUCUCUUACAUGAUAAUUGUCAGCAUUGUGGCCUAAGAAGGAAAAAAAUGUGUAUGUUUUUCAAAAUUAAAAAUUAAGAGCAUGAUUAUAAAAAUUACUUAAAAUAUGGAGAAGUAGUCACUGGUCAGAAUAAAAGAGAAUUUCUGUGAGGGUCAAAAUAGUACACAUUAUAAAAGAAAAAAAAAUGGUACAAAGCAGAGCCUUUCGCUGUAACUUCAGGAGUCCAAGUUUUUGGCAAGAUGUUUUUAAAGCCCAUUUGUGUGUUAAAGAAAACUUUAUCCUGAACAAGGAGCUGUGUGUUUUAUAAUUGUAUUAAGUUCUUCCUUCCUUCCCAAGUGGCCUCCAUAACACUUAGUAAAUGUGUAUUUAUCUGGCCACUGAGUGACAUAUCUGUGUGUAAUAGAAUUAUUUGCAGAACUUAAUAGCCUUUGUUAUUUUCCCAUGGGAAUUCUUCAAAAUCCAACAGGGUCUAGUUUUGUUUUGUUUUGUUUUGUUUUGUUUGGGUUUUUUUUUUUCUUCAUAUGUUUGCUAAGUUACUGCAUAUUUGCUGGAUAUUGAAGUUUAUUCCUGGGAAUCUAAUUUUGCAAAUAAUUUGGAGAUAUGCAGUCUUACAGUCAUGUCCAAAAUAACUCUUGCUACCAUUUGUGUUUCAUAACUACUCCUGUUUUCCUUCAAAGUAUAUCACAUCUUUAAUAUAAAUAAAGCACAUACAAAU